UUGCUUCAGCAGCAAAUGUACUAGAACUGGCACCAAACAGGAGAAGAUUAACAUGGCACCUGCACAAGGAUGACACGCAAAUUUGCAAUGUGUUCUAUAUAGAA
rnacentral:snRNA from 1 species